AUUGAACGCUGGCGGCAGGCCUAACACAUGCAAGUCGAGCGGAUGGAGGGAGCUUGCUCCUGGAUUCAGCGGCGGACGGGUGAGUAAUGCCUAGGAAUCUGCCUGGUAGUGGGGGAUAACGUCCGGAAACGGGCGCUAAUACCGCAUACGUCCUGAGGGAGAAAGUGGGGGAUCUUCGGACCUCACGCUAUCAGAUGAGCCUAGGUCGGAUUAGCUAGUUGGUGGGGUAAAGGCCUACCAAGGCGACGAUCCGUAACUGGUCUGAGAGGAUGAUCAGUCACACUGGAACUGAGACAUGGUCCAGACUCCUACGGGAGGCAGCAGUGGGGAAUAUUGGACAAUGGGCGAAAGCCUGAUCCAGCCAUGCCGCGUGUGUGAAGAAGGUCUUCGGAUUGUAAAGCACUUUAAGUUGGGAGGAAGGGCAGUAAGUUAAUACCUUGCUGUUUUGACGUUACCAACAGAAUAAGCACCGGCUAACUUCGUG
rnacentral:rRNA from 1 species